rnacentral:rRNA from 1 species
GACGGAGGAUGCAAGUGUUAUCCGGAAUUAUUGGGCGUAAAGCGUCUGUAGGUUGCCUAACAAGUCUGUUGUUAAAGGUUAAAGCUUAACUUUAAAACUGCAGCAGAAACUGCUAGGCUUGAGUACAAUCGAAGUAGAGGGAAUUUCCAGUGAAGCGGUGAAAUGCGUAGAUAUUGGAAGGAACACCGGUGGCGAAAGCGCUCUACUGGGCCAUUACUGACACUCAGAGGCGAAAGCUAGGGGAGCAAAAGGGAUUAGAUACCCCUGUAGUCCUAGCCGUAAACGAUGGAUACUAGGUGUUGUAUUUUUUCAGUAUCGUAGCUAACGCGUUAAGUAUCCCGCCUGGGGAGUACGCUCGCAAGGGUG